rnacentral:rRNA from 1 species
GACAGAGGCCCCAAGCGUUAGGCGGAAUCACUGGGCUUAAAGCGUGUGUAGGCGGAUCGUUAAGUGUCUUGUGAAAUCCCACGGCUCACCCGUGGAACUGCUGGGCAUACUGGCGAUCUUGGGCCAACUAGGGGCAGCCGGAACAAGCGGUGGAGCGGUGAAAUGCGUAGAUAUCAGGAAGAACACCCGUGGCUAAGCGGCUCUCUAGUACGGUACUGACGCUGAGACGCGAAAGCGUGGGGGAGCGAACAGG